rnacentral:rRNA from 1 species
AUUGAACGCUGGCGGCAUGCCUUACACAUGCAAGUCGAACGGCAGCACGGGAGCAAUCCUGGUGGCGAGUGGCGAACGGGUGAGUAAAGUAUCGGAACGUGCACAGUCGUGGGGGAUAACGUAGCGAAAGUUCCGCUAAUACCGCAUACGAUCCAUGGAUGAAAGCGGGGGAUCGCAAGACCUCGCCCACUUGGAGCGGCCGAUAUCAGAUUAGGUAGUUGGUGGGGUAAAGGCUCACCAAGCCGACGAUCUGUAGCUGGUCUGAGAGGACGACCAGCCACACUGGGACUGAGACACGGCCCAGACUCCUACGGGAGGCAGCAGUGGGGAAUUUUGGACAAUGGGCGAAAGCCUGAUCCAGCCAUGCCGCGUGCAGGAUGAAGGCCUUCGGGUUGUAAACUGCUUUUGUACGGAACGAAAAGGUUUGGGCUAAUAAGCUGAGCUCAUGACGGUACCGUAAGAAUAAGCACCGGCUAACUACGUGCCAGCCGCCGCGGUAA